rnacentral:rRNA from 1 species
CGCGUAGGUGGUUUGAUAAGGGUGUGGUGAAAGACCCGGGGCCGUCAACCCCGGGUCCGUGCCGUGCCGACUGUCAAACUACGAGGGCGUGUAGAGGCAGACGGAAUUCCGGGUGUAGCGGUGGAAUGCGUAGAGAUCCGGAGGAAGACCGGUGGCGAAGGCGGUCUGCUGGGCAGUUUCUGACACUGAUGCGCGACAGCGUGGGGAGCAAACA